GGCAAAACUAGAAAGAGGCCCCAAUAUAGCAGGUGAUUAUGCAAGGUGUCCAGUAUUCUCCAGACACUUUCUCUCAGGAUAAGGAAAGGGGACAGGAAGCUUAUGGGAAAGUUCUAGAAAAGGCAUCUUUUGCACUGUGCUGAGGCAACAGGCAGGAAUGGGGUAGCAAUCUCCAAAAACUAGGACUUCUUUCUGAGGUCUUUGACCCCAAGUGCUCCAUAGUCCAAAGCAGCUUCUCCUUCCUCCUCUCCACCCAAAGCUAUGGCGACUCCCUUGUCUGAUGCAGAUCAGUGCUGGAUGCUGUGGGGAAGAGAGUACUGGGCUGACAGUCAGUGGAUGUGGAUUUUGUUUCCCAGUUCCAUCGCUGAUUUGCAGACAUGGAUGGUCACAAAGGUGAAUUCACUUGCUCAAGAUCCAACACACACAAAAUGGAGGUGGUUCAAACCCAGGUGUGUCUGACUGCAGAGCCUGUGUUCUUCCCAGUAGAGAUGUGGAUGCAGCACAAAUGGUAGAAAGGACCUGAGACUUAGUCAGAAGACCUCAGUUCACCCAAGGUAUCUGCUAUGCCCAAGGCCUCUGCUCAGUGCUGAGGAAACAAGCAUGGACAAGAUGUGGCCUCCACCCUGAGGAGCUCCUAAAUCUAGGACAGAGUAAAUCUGUUAGAAAUGUCUUCUCUGCACAUAAUUUAAGCUCUACCAACUGUUAACUUCUUUUCAUUUAUCCAAGUUUUGCCAGGUACCACACCAAUAAAAAAAGACUCAGUCCCUCUUCCUUCAGA
rnacentral:lncRNA from 1 species